rnacentral:rRNA from 1 species
GACGAACGCUGGCGGCGUGCUUAACACAUGCAAGUCGAACGGAAAGGCCCUGCUUUUGUGGGGUGCUCGAGUGGCGAACGGGUGAGUAACACGUGAGUAACCUGCCCUUGACUUUGGGAUAACUUCAGGAAACUGGGGCUAAUACCGGAUAGGAGCUCCUGCUGCAUGGUGGGGGUUGGAAAGUUUCGGCGGUUGGGGCUGGACUCGCGGCUUAUCAGCUUGUUGGUGGGGUAGUGGCUUACCAAGGCUUUGACGGGUAGCCGGCCUGAGAGGGUGACCGGCGACAUUGGGACUGAGAUACGGCCCAGACUCCUACGGGAGGCAGCAGUGGGGAAUAUUGCACAAUGAGCGGAAGCCUGAUGCAGCAACGCCGCGUGCGGGAUGACGGCCUUCGGGUUGUAAACCGCUUUCGCCUGUGACGAAGCGUGAGUGACGGUAAUGGGUAAAGAAGCACCGGCUAACUACGUG